rnacentral:rRNA from 1 species
GUGCAGCAGGCGCAAAUAGUCUACAAUGGACGAAAGUCUGAUAGUGCGACGCCGUGUGUGCGAUUAAUUCCUUCGGGAUGUAAAGCACUUUUCUAUGAGAUAAAAGCUCUUUAGGUUAAUAGCUUAUUGAGACGGAUAUUAUUAUAGGAAUAAGCUCCGGCUAACUCCGUGCCAGCAGCCGCGGUAAUACGGAAGGAGCGAGCGUUGUCCGGAUUUACUAGGCGUAAAGGGCUAGUAGGCGACUAAUUAAGUUAUAUGUUAAAUCCCACGGCUCAACUGUGGUCCUGCAUGUAAUACUGGUUAGAUAGAGUACUGUAGAGGAAGGCAGAAUUCCUGGAGUAGCGGUGGAAUGCGCAGAUAUCAGGAAGAAUACCAAAAGCGAAGGCAGCCUUCUGGGCAGUUACUGACGCUGAAUAGCGAAGGUGUGGGUAGCGAACAGGAUUAGAUA